CACCGAGUCCGAGGUCCGGUGAUCACCGGACCUGGUGCGAAAGGGA
rnacentral:sRNA from 23 species